AAUAGUGUGUGACUCCAAGUUAAUGUCGCUAUUUUCACCGAACCACCUCUGCCAAUGUCGACCAACCGCCGAUGCCUGUGUCUCCAGAUCGUGUUAAUUACUUGUGUCCGUGUUGGGAUGUUAAACGAUGAUGGGUGCUGUUGAAUUCUGGAAUUGGAUGCGAAAUUUGAUUUUCAGAAAAUUGGGGGUAUUGGCCGUGUACGGUGAUGUGCUGUUGUGGUGAAGAACCAAGUUUCUUUUUUUCUUAAAGAAGCAAAGUCUGGUGCAAUCUUCAAUGCGGCCUUUUGUUGGCUAGGUUAUUAACACGAUUUUUCAUUCUUUUUUCUAUAAAACAAAAAAGAAAGUUUUAUUAAAGUAAUUUUUAUUAGGAACUCAAAAUAUCUCCAGAACAAAAGUAUACUAAUUAACUUAAAUAAUGUUACCUAUAUCAAUAAGAAAAUAUCAAUAAAUUAGUAGUUUUUAAUAUUUAAAAAAAAAAACACAAAAUUAUAAUACAUUUUAAUUUAUUAUCAAACUUUUUAUUAUGUCAACUAAAAAUUAGUAUCACAUUUUUUAUUGGUGCUCGGUUCCUAACCGUCGGUUCUCGAUUCAGAAAAUGAGGAACCAGAACCGAACCGGUUUUUUCGGUUCCGGUUCCAGUUCCGGUCAAACCGGUUCUGAUUCGGUGUGUGUGUGUGUGUGUGUAUAUAUAAAAAUAUUUUACGUAUUUAAAAAAACAAUUAAGUUUUUUAAAUAUACUUUCCACUUAAAAAAAAAGAACUAUUUUUAAAACCAGGAACCGAACCGCAAGGAAUCGGAUUUUUUCGGUUUGGUUCCGGUUCCUCCAAAAUCGGAACCGGAACCAGAACCAGAACCGAACCAAACUGUGGCCAGGUCUAGAGUCAGCACGUGACAUGAAUUAGUUGGCUCGAUUAGUAAUAGGAUUAAAAUAUGGUUAUAAUCAUACACCAUUUUAAUGUAUUAGCUUUAUAAUUUUUAUUGGUUAUUCGAUCGAAGUGCAAAUGAGUUGAGCCGGCACGUGACAUGAUAAGUCGGCUCGAGGUUAGUUUGAACUCGAGCACUAGUUCUUCAAGCUCCAGAUUUCUAGUUGUUCGUGAGCUCACAAGCAGACUUCCGAGCUCUUUUUAAUUUCAAUAUUAAUUUUUUUUUAUUAUAAAUAUAAAUAAUAUAUAGUAAUAUGAAGUAUAGGGGGUGGUAAACGAGCUAAGCCGACUCGUGAACUCGAUGAGCCUGCUCGAAAAAUGGCUCGAACUCGAACUCGAGUUUUUCGAACUCGAGCCUUUUCUUAGUUGUUCAUGAACUCACGAGCCGACUCGCGACCCUUUUUUUGUAUUUUUUAUAUAUUAUUUUUUAUUUUAUAAUAUAUUAUAUUAUAAAUAUAAUAUAAAAAGAACAUAUAAAAAUUAAGAAAAUAUAAUUACGGUUCAUUAUUAGCAUUGUAAUUUUUUAUUAUAAUAUAAAUAAUUUUUAAUCAUAAAAAAUAAUAAUGAAAAAAAAACAAAAUGAGCUUCGGCUCGAGCUCGAGCUUGAAAAAUUGGACUCGAGCUUGGCUGGUUAGUCAUAAUCAACUAUUUUUUUACACAAAAAUAAUUAAAUUAUUUAUUAUGUUCAGGAAUUCAACAAUUUUCUAAUGUAUAUGUAGUUAAAGAAGAAAAAUGAGAGAAAUCGAAAAGUAAACAAUUGGCGGUCAUCUAAAAAAUUUCAUCAAUUUCUCAAUCCUAAAAAUUCUUGUUUUUUACCUGCAAAACAAUUGGCGCAAAAUAUGUUUUUCUUUUAAAUUAAUUGAUAUGUAUAUAUUUUUAUUCUAAAAACCAAUAUUUUCAGAACCGGACCGGACAUAAAACCAGAUAGGUAUUCGGGUCACGGUUGGACCGGUUCAACCGGGUUCGACCCGGGUUUUUUCAUUUUUUUUAAUAGUUAAUUUUUUUUUUUAAAUAUAAAAUAUAAUUCUGUGUACUUUAUAUCAUUUAUUCACCUUAAAAUCUAACCCAACAUUUAUAAUAUAAUUUCUUUUAAUUAAUAUGUCUGAUUUAAUUUUAAUAUGCACUACUUUUUUGUUUUCCUCUCCCCAUUACUAUCUUCACUGGCCCCACCCCACCCCACCCCUUCGUUUCUUCUUCUUUGUUCUUUUUUAUUUUUUCCACUGUUCCUUUUUUUCACCUCAUUUCUCUCCAUAUUCAGAGAACAUCAUCUUUCACAUAUUUCUUUUCAUUUUUCAUCCAUCUUCACGUAACAGUACUUCUUUUAUUUACUUUCUCAGUUUUCUUUUCCCCCCUUUCAGUCCAUUGAUCUAGCCAUCCACAACUCCGAUUUGGUCAUAUAACACACAUAUCCGACCACCCACAAAAAUCCCCAGCCCAGAUUCGACCACCGCGGCGAUCCCCCACCCAAAUCCGGCAACCUACCGCCAUUUUAGGCUAAAACCCGGUUCAUUAACCGGUUUCCGGUUGAACCGCAUUUUUUGCUCAUUGACCCCAAUUUUUGAUUUUUUUGGUUUAUACAACCUAAAGACAAAUUAGUAAAAAAAAUAUUUUUUUUUGGCGCCUAAGAAGAGAUUUGGCGGUAAAAUAAUAGUUGAUAAGGUAAAUCCACCUCUCCAAGUUUCCCACGAUAGAAUCCAUCGUGAUCUACUCCCGAAAUAUAUAUCUCCCUUUCAUUCCCUUGACCUUUCAUAUUACAUUAAAUCACCGAGAAACAGAUCUAGAAACAGAACAGGGGAACUAAUCAGAGGAUUUUUUGCUGGUAAAUUUACUUCAUCUAACGUAGUCCAUCUGUUUAUUUCAUUAUUUAUUCAUUAUUCAUUAGAGUAUUCUAAACUAUUGGAAUAACCCAUAACAUACAAAAUCUUGUUGGAUUAUAAUAGUUGGAAGUUUUUUUGAAAUUGUCUUUAAUAUGUCCUGUUCUUUCAAAUCCGUAUUAUGUUAUUGUGGUUUUCAUUUUACCAGAUAAUUGGAUUUAUCAUAUGAAUUGGUUUGCAUUUGCAUGUUAUAUUGGUAAAAUGACUCUUGAUUUUUUUUCUAUUCUCUGUGAUGGAGAUGGCGUGUUAUGCAAAAAAAAAAAAAAAUUAUGUUGCACUUAUUCAUACAAUCAAAAUUAACAGAGAUCAAUUUAUGUACAAAUUAAGCCUUAUAGCUAUAUUAGUAUAUAUUUAAUUAGUAUUGAAUUUUAUGAAGUAUUUUUUAUGUUUCUCUUUUAUUGAUAUCAAUAUCUUAAUUCUUUUCAGAUCUCAAGUCUAAUAAUGAGUACAGAUCAUAAACGUAGAAUGGAGUUAUUAACAGCAAUGGCAGCAACUAACAAUACCGGAAAUUUGAAGCGUAAGAAGGAGUUAGCAAAUGCUUUAACUGCAAAUGGUAUAGCUAAUGAGCCAACUGAGAAUUCGUCUCUUCGAAAUUUAAAUGGUAAUGAUAUUAACAUGUUAUUUUAAUUUAUUUGCAGUUAUAUAUAAAAAGUUAAUUUAAGUUAAUAUUUUGUACUUUGAAUAUUGUAGUUUCAAGUAGAAAUAAGAGAGUGUUUGUACCACCGACUAAAUCAAGUAUUUCAAACUCUUUGACUAGACAAUCGGCAACAAACCCAAAAACAAGCGAUAAAGGUAUUUUUUUUUCUAUGAUUGAGUUUAUUUUUGUAAACUUUGUUUAUUAAAUAGUAUAAAUUUAUAUAUUUCCUUAACGCAUGUAAAUGUAAUCAAUAUUUACAUCUAGAGUGCAUACAGAAGACCUUCACGUACAACAUGUGACUAAUGCUUCGAAUGAGCACACUGGAGUUGUUGUUACAGGUUUUGUUAAGUUGUAUAUUUUUAUUUUUAAAUAUUUUUACUUCUAACUUAUAUUUUAAAAAACUAAUUGUAGAAUCAGUCGUAGAUACGGUGGAUAAAGCAGAUGCGAUAAAAGGUAAUGUUAAACAUACUAUUUUUUUUUUUUUUUUAAUCUGUAUUGGUAUAUUAACUAUUGAUUUAUCUUUUAUUUACUUAUGUUAAUUAUGGAUUAGUGGGUCAAAAACGAGGUCGUGGACUGACUAGGGGGUUAAAUACCCAAAAGUAUAAACGCAAAUCCGGGGGGGAGAAGCCAAAAAUUGUUAUUCCUAAAGGAAUAAACAGACCCGUUGGGGAGCAUAGCUCCAAACAUGCAACCGAGAUUGGGGUCUUAAUUAGGUGUGAAGCUCCAAUGCAAGUUGAGGGUUGGGCGAAAAUUCCGGAUGAAACAAAAGAUCAUCUUCUUAGGAAGUUGACUGUAAGUGAUGUUGUUAGUUAUCUUCAUUUAAAAUUUUCUUUUAGUCCAUAUUUAACAAUAUCAUAGUACCUAAUUCAAAUGUUUAAAAUUUUCUAAAUGUCAAAAAGAAUAAGCUCAGUUAUGAACUGGAGGAGCCUCAUGUUGUUCAAUGCAUUUGGAAGUCUUUUGCCAAACAGUAUUCAUCUUUUCGUUCAAAUGCUCAUAAAUAUUAUUUAAAAUGGAAAGAAGGAGGUGGUGUGACACUAGCCAGACAGAAUAUAUACGAAAAACUCGGUGAUCGUCGUGACGAUUGGCUUUGGUUGUGCGAUUUUUGGGAGACAGCAAAGUUUGAGGUACUAUAUUAUUUUAGACAAUUUUUGUUAUAAUAAAUGGAUAUUACUGAUUAGAAAAAUGAUUCAUUACAUUAUUUUUUAUUAUUUUUCAAUAUUUACAGAAAGUUUCAAAUACUCAGAAAAGCAACAGGAAGAAACUGACAUAUAGUCAUAAAUUGGGAACAAAGUCUCGUGCAGCACAUCAACAUGAGAAAGUUAGUCAUAUAUUUUCUUACUAUGAAAUAUUUAGUUGUCGACGUAAAUUAACAUUUGAAUUGUUACAUCACAGGGUUUUGAUGAUAUUGAUAUGUAUGAGGUUGAAUACCAUAAUCCGAAAAAUGGAUGGGCAUAUAAAGAUUUUGAGGCAAAUAGUGUAAGUAUAAUUCAUAUUUAGGUUAUUUCUUAGUUUGUUUGAUCAAUUAUACUUGUGUGUUAAAAGUAAAUAAUUUAUCUAUAAAAUAAUUAACAUAUCGACUCAUAUUUGAAAAUAGGUUCGAAUGAAAGAAUUGAGAGAACAACAAAGAGCUUUGCCAGAAGGCGUUGAUCGAAUGACCACAGAAGAAAUUUGCAUAACAGUUUUAGGGGAAAAUUCAUCAUAUGCUAAAUCGAAAGGUCUUAAUCGAAAAGUAUCUGGAGUUGAUGCUAUUUCAUCGAAAAGUAUCUGGAGCACGAUUAGAAGAAGAGUUGGCGAACACACAAUCUGAGUUGGCAAGUACGAAAGCUGAGAUGGCUAUUCAGAAAACUACUGUAGAAGCGGUAGUAAAAUUCAUGGAGCAGAUGACUGGCAAAAGCUUUGCUGAAAUUAUAAACGUACCUAAUUGGUGAGUUCAAAACUAGAAUAAAUCCCGGUAUGAUUUUAUUAAUAACAUAAUUAUUUAUAGUUAAAUUUUUUUGCACUUAUUCAAGCUAUUCUUAAUUUUAUCAUGCAGAGUUAAUUAAAAAGAAAUGAAGAAGUAACUUGAUUGAGGUGUAUUUUGCUUUAUGAGACGUAUUAUUGCCAUGGGCAAAUUAUGAUUUAAGUUUUUAAAUUUAGUUGAUGUUUAUAUUUUGGGCAUAUUUCAUAGGGAUCUUUGUCUUAAUUUGGAUAUGAAUUAUGGUAAUUUUGCUUAACACUAUGAGUUUUUAGUUUUUUUUAUGAUAUGGUUAUCUGCUUUCUUUAGUGUCGUAUUAUCUUUAAAAAAUGAAAAAAGCUUCUUGUUUUGCGAAGGAAGUUUGCAUUCCGCCGGAGAAAAGAGAUUAGAAAACAAAGAGUUUUGCUUAUUAAUUUAUUUCUCGUAUUAUUUCAAUUUUUUUUCCUAUUUUACACUAUGAGUACACAAGAAUAUGAGUGGAAAUAUAUCAGAAUUAUGAGAGAGAGAGCGAACUAUGAAAGAGAGGGAAGAAACGAAAGAAAAGGGAAGGAAAAACAGGGUAGGUGGCAACGAAGAAUGAGACAUAAUCUCGGUGGAACUCUUCUGCCUAAAAUAGAAUAGCAAUGGUUGCUAUUGCUGCUGUAUUGCAGAAGACAUGUUUUCCCACAGUGUCCUUGAGGUUCAAGGUUCAGUAAAAAAAAUUCUCAAUCGAUUAUACUAUAGUAUAUAUUUGAAUUUGGAUUUACUAUUUGAUUUAUUUUAUUCAUGCAGAAGGAAGUCGAAGAAACAUUAUCUCAAGCUUUUGGAGAAAAGUCAAUUUUGUUUUCUGCUCAAACAAUUUUAAAGUUCAAUGGCGAAUCUGACCAACUUAUGGAUUUUAUUAGAAUUGGUACUACGUGAUCGAACAUAUGUGUUAGAAUUUAUUCAUAUUGUAUAGGUUUUAUUAUGUAGACGUAUUAUUGUAUAAUACAAGUAUUUUGUGUAAAAGUUAGUUCCAUAACCAAUCAUUAGUUCAUGUAGUUACAUUCUGUCAUUUUUUUAAAUAAAUUUAAUUAGCUGAAUUUAUAUGCUUACAAUUUAAUGAUUUUAAGACACUUUAGUUUUGUGUAAAAGACAUGUAGUAACUAUAUAUACAAUAUUUUUGUUAUUAAAUUGGUCACUGUUAAUAUUUAUUUAUAUCGACCAAAUGUAAUUCUCACUAAAUACUCCAACUUUGGACGCUAUACUAGUACCCGAGUCUUGUUAAAUUACAGUGACCAUCGAUAGUUACCAAAUAUCAGUUGGUCGUAAAAAAAUAAACAACUUAACAUUAGCAACUACAUUAUUUUUGGUGGCUACAUUCUUGCAAUGAAAAUAUCGUUAGCAACCAAAUUAAUUGGUCGUUAAUAGUUAUUUAAAAAUUUAUAGCGACCAUUGUUUGUUUAGUUACUAAAUUGGUCACUAUUAACAUUACUUACAACGACCGUUUUAAAACAAGUCGCUAAAGACUCUACUCAUGGUCGCUCAAGGAUCGACAACUAAUAGUGACCAUUUAUAGCUACCAAAUCUUGUUUGGUCGCAAAGAAAUUGAAGUAACUUCAAUUUUGCAACCAUAUUGUUAUUGGUGGCUAUAUAUACAUAUUUUGCGACUAUUUGUCUAUCGUCGCUAAAAAUUUGGUCGUUAAAGCUAGUUUUUCUUGUAGUGAGUUUGGUUCUCUCAUUAUUUCUUCAACUUGAUCGUUUUAAGUUUAUAAACUUGAAGAAUUUAUGAGAUUUUAAUUUUUUAUUGUUAUCAUUUAAAUUGAAUUGUAAGAUCUUUUAACAAUUAGAAUCAUGGUAGAAGAAUAUUCGAGUCAAUAUCUACAGAUAUGUCCAUUAUUGGCAUAUGAGUAUCAUAUGAAUAUACUAAUUCCCCUUAGGUUGAUAUUUUUCAAACUUAUGCUUCAUGCAUUAUAUUGUUCUACAUUAGCCUUAGGUACUCAUUUUUCAAACUUAUGCUUCAUGCAUUGUUCAAAAUUAAAUUGCAUAUGAAUACUGCAGUUUGGUUAGGAGAAAUAGAGAUAUAAUAGAUGCGGAACCGAAUCAUAAUUAAUGUAGUGUUUCACGUUAAUAAUCAUAAAUAAUAACUUUGGUUUGGCGAACAAUCUUCGCAUGCGAAAGAUAAACGUAUAGGUCUGUUCUACUGAAUUUAAUAUCGUGUUUAUUUGCUUUCUUAGUUAAUUAGAUAAUAAAAAUCAAACAACCUUUGGAUUUAUGGAUAAGAGCGUAGUUGUCAUAAUUUGGUACUUAGGAUAUGGUAACAUAUGUAUUCCCUGCGAGUUCGACACUCGACUCAUCUGAAUCCAACUUCCUACUUGUUUGCGAUAUGUGCACUUGCGAGUAGGAUUUUCUUAAUAGAUUUUUUGUGUCGUUGUUUCGGUAUAUAUGUCUAGAUUGUCGUAUUUUUCUAAUAUGAGAUCUAAACAUUUUUUCUUACUUCAGCUUGUUAUCUUUCAAGUUUCUUUUUUAGGUAUGCACUUAGAAGACAUUAGUGUUUAAUUGAAACAACAUCAGAGAUAUGAAAAUCUGCUUAACCAACCUCAAGAAGUCACUAUUCCACCACCAACGCGAAAUACAAUACCGCCAUCGAGCGAUUGUACCCGAGGACCUCUACAUGUUUUACUAUAAAGUGUGUAGAAUGCACACUUGUUGGCAUCUAUUUAAGCCAAGAAUCGAGCAACCGUAAAUCAUUUAUGUGUUGUUUGGUUGCAUUUUAUCUAAUAUUGCAUUUAUAAGUUUGACUCAUGCAUUUUGCAUUUCUUAUCUGUUUAUGUCGGAAUAUCGUGUCCAGAAGGCGUACAGGGCAACAUGAGGGACGACAACGGUCAAGGAACUCGAGGAACGAGAUAAAAUAAGCUAAACAUGGCGAUGAAACGACAAAGUACAUAAAUGUUGAAGAAGACCCAACGAUCGAUCGAUCAUAUGGACUCUAAUUAUAAUUAUGCCGAUCGACCAGUGGCUAAAUAGCUACCGAUCAAUAGGUCAUAGGUGCACACACUGACUUUAUAUAAAUAGGUUUUUACGUCAGAAUUUCGAGAGGAGAGACAUGAGGAUAGUUGGUUAUACAGAGUUGAGUCCAAAAAUCCUAGUUUUAGAGCAAAGAACUCGUGGGUUCCAAGCACGGAAUUUUAGAGCAACUAACAAGGCGCGAAAAAUGACGAUUCACGAGGACUCAAGCAUAGUUUUCUUCUUUCUUUUUAGAAUCCUAUUUUGUUUUUCAUAACAAUUAUGAGAAGUGGUGUUUCGACUAGUAAAUUGAAUCAACAAAUGCAUAAGAUGAAGAUUAGACUAUAGUCUCUCUUUAUAAAAGUAAUUAAUCUUGUUAAUUUUGAGUUUUAUAAUAAUAAAGCAACCAAUUAAAGUUCAAUUGAAUAACACCAACAUGUUAGUGAUUGAGAAUAAAUCAACUUGAUAGAGUCCACUUUACUUUAACAUAGAUCAAAUUUUAUUGAACUUGCAUAACAUGUAAUAAUACUUUUAAAAUUGUAAAAGAAAUUCAAUCACAGUGAAUCUUGAAUGGAAACCGUGGGUUUUUCUUCAAAACAUAAUAGCAGUUUGGCUAAAGUAAUAGAAAAACUAAUUAUUAUAAAAUUAACUCCGAAACAAGAUUGAAAAAAUACAAUAUUUAUGAAACCUAAAAAACCUCAAAAUUAAAUAUUUUUUGAAAUUUUACAUUAAUCUAUCUAUCUAUCUAUCUGAUUCGUGGUUGGCAUUUCAAAGCGGCAGAGUGGGCAACAAUGACUAGUGCUCAGCCACUUCUUGAUGCAGUAGUCGUGAUAAAUAUGCAAACACGGCAUGCUUAACGCUUCUUCAAAAUCAUUGUCGCCGCCCGACGACAGAUCUUCCAAACAAAUCGAGCAACUAAUAUUCCGAUCAGAAUCAACGGCCACCCUCUUCAAUGACGACAUUAUCGAUGAAUCCGCUGCCGGAAUCAUGAGAUAACAUUCCUCAUCAUCAAUUUCUGCGUAAUCAAUAUGUUGGUUAUCUACCAACACAUCAAAGUAAAAAUUCAAAACCCUGCCCUCUGCCGGAAUAUUGUUGUCGAGCCUUGUGAGCGCUUCGUCCCGCACAAGACCGGCCACGCUUGUGCGCAUAUAGCAAUUGUCUAAAACGCCCCUCAGCUCGAAGUCCAUGACCGCCUUUAAUUCAUCCUCGCACCGGAACUGCAUGCGGCUCACUCCAAAGGAUAAAUCAGUUGUGGAUGCAUUGAAUCGUGUGACUAACACGAGCGUGGAAUCUGGAUCAUCAGGUUGAAUUAUCCACUCGGAAAAAUCAGUUCUCCAUGUGAAGUUUAAGUUGAUUUCGAAAAAAAAAAGUUAGUGCUUCUCUUUGGGAGAGAGGAUGGAUUAUUAAUUAAUGUUGUCGGAUUGGGAAAUAAGAAUCCCAGUUGAGGUAUAUAUAUAUAUUUUUUGGUUGUGGACAAGGUUAAUAAUCCUUGGUGUACGAGGACUACGAGAGUUUGAAAGAGAAAAGGUAGGUAGUGAUCAAAUUUUGCCAACCUGUGAAUUUACGUACUUUGGUUCACGUACAUGACUUAAUAUACUUCGGUUUACUUGAAUAUUAGGUUUGUAAUCCUUUGUGUGCUAGGAUUAUAUUCUCAACACAAUAAUAUUACUUUUGAGCGUACCACAUCAAUAUUAUUCUUUUUGGCAUUUUUAUUUUGUUUUGUUUUCUUCAUCGGUAAUAAUAGUGUGAUUAACAGUCUUAUCAUUGUCUCUGGUAUUAUAAAUUAUAAUAUUAAUGUGGUUGACAGUUAUAUUAAUAUCAGCUUCACUAAUAUUAUUGUGGUUGACAGUAAUAUUAUCGACGAUAUUACUGUCAACCACAAUGUUAUUUUUUUUGGUUUUUUAUUUUGUUUUAAUUUUCUUCGUUGACCCGCGGUUAACAUAAUAAUAUUAUCGUACUACACAAUAAUUUAUUAUGAAACAUAGUAAUUUCGCUAUUUAAUGUCAUUGUGCUAGAUAGUACGUAAUAUAAUAAUAUUAUGGUGUAAAACAGUAAUAUGGUGAAUAUUACUCGUUGUUAGAGAAUAUAAUAUUAUAGAACUCUCCUAAUAGUAUGAUUCUAGUAUGAUUUGGUUACCUAGAUUAGUUAGGAUUUAGUUACCUAGCUAGCCAAACUCUAUUACCUUGCAAUAUUUCUCUAUAUAUAUUCCAUGUAAUUAACCCAUAACAAAAUGGGGGUUUCUAUUCUUCCUAUAUACUCGCAACCACAGUAAUAUUAUUGUUUUUACCGGAAAAAUGAAGAAAAAAAUUAUUUAAAAAUAAAAAUCAAGGUCGACCAAAAUCAAAAUUGAAGUCAAAUUGGUUUAGAAGAAAAAACGUAGAAAUAGGAGUAUUGGGUUGUAUUUUUGGUAGUGCUUCUACCCUAUGGGAAGCAUCAUAAUUUUUUUACUAGAAAAAAAAAAAGGUUUAUUGGACAUAGCCCUCAUUAAUUUACAAAAUACAAGUUAGAUAAUAAUGAACCAUGGUCGUGCAAGAAAGAAAGAAAAAAAAGUUACUGCUUCUCUUCUCUUUGGGUGAGAGGAUGGAUUAUUAAUUAAUUAAUGUGGUCGGAUUGGAAAAUAAGAAUCCCAGUUGAGGUUUAUAUAUAUUUUUGGUUUUGGACUAGGUUAAUAAAAUCAUUGGCGUACGAGGACUACGAGAGUUUGAAAGAGAAAAAAGGUACGUAUAUGAUCAAAUUUUGCCAACCUGUGAAUUCACGUACUUUUGUUUAAUAUGGAAAAACUUUGGCCAAUAACUUGGAGAAAAAGUAAUAUGCCAAGUAAACCUUCUUAUGGUUAUACACUGCUGUGUAUUACUACAAAAAGAAAGGAAUUUUUUUUUUUUUUAUCUUGGUUUCCUAGUUGUCAUUAAUUGAGUAUUUAUUUAUGUAAAAUAAAUCUUAUUAGACUAGGGUAUUUACCUCUUCACGUGAGGGGAGCCACCACUGAUACAUGGGAGUUGCAGUUAAAUCUCCUGUUGAUAUAGAAACAACUGUUAAUGAGACUGUUGCAACAGUUGAUAUACCUGUCGCUGAAACAGUUGGGCCAGCUGAUGAUGUAGACGAUUGUUUUGGCUUAUUUAUUGAUAAGACAAUAAGAAAUCACAUAUAUCUCUAAGAUUUAGAAUCCUACGUGACUUUAAUAUUUUGAAUAUCUUAUGGUGUAUGAUAUAAAAGAAGAGCAAGCUGAGCAUAAAGUUUGUACGGCAUCUUUGAGAGAAAAAAUUACACAGGAUAUUUUAUUUACUCUUAUUUUUAUUGGUGUCUUUUUUAUCGAGAGAAAAUUUGCGGAGAAAAUAUUUUGCACUCAUUGCUCCAUCGUGAUACGCGAUUUUCAUAAAAAAAAUAUAUCGGCUUCAAGGCUUUGUGGUGAAGACACCAAGAUUCAAGGAUUAUCACAUGUUUGCUUCUUCUAUACAAAAAGAAGAUCGGUUCUUCGGGAGAGGGGCUUAAACAGAUCUCGGGAGGAGAUCGAUCCGCCGACUGAAGAGAUUCAGAGUUGAAGGGAGUUCAACCGAGCAGAGAGGAGGCUGGCACAAUCGAAGUCACUAGUUUUAAGUAUUGCAUAAGAACGGCGUCAAGAUACAGAUGGAGUCUUUAAUUUAUUGUUUAAGUUCUAAUAUUGUGCUGGUAAAACUAAAAUAUUGAAUAUUCGCUUUUGCAGAUCCUCGUAGAUGUAGGGUACAAUUGUAUCUGAACAACAUUAAAUUUGUGUCUCGUUCAUUUCUGUUUUUACAAACUGUUUCAUGAACUGUCGCAACACUUCACGCAACAGUAACUAAAAACUGAAUCCGACACAAACAACUAAUAUUUGAACGAAAUAAAUUCUAACAAUUGGCAUCAAGAGCCUCUCACUAGAUAUACUUUGUGAGAUUUUUUAAAUUAAUUAAUUUAUUUUGUUACGUGCAAAUAUGUUUCAUCGUGAAGGAGCGUCUACAGUACGACCACCUCUCUUGGAUGGAUCAAAUUACUCUUACUGGAAAUCGAAGAUGAAGAUGUUCAUCAAGUUUGUUGAUGAACGAGCUUGGCGCGCUAUCGUGAUUGGUUGGACCCCGCCCAUGGCUAAAGGAACAGAUGGUAUGGAGACAGUAAAACCAGAAGAAACAUGGAUUAAUGAAGAGAUAUUACUUGCCAUUUACAACUCAAGGGCGAUAAACUCAAUUUUCAGUGGUGUUGGUGACAAUCAGUUCAAACUGAUAUCAUCGUGUGAAUUAGCAAAAAGGGCAUGGGAGAUCUUGCAAGUGAUGUACGACCGCACAUCAACUAUUAAAACAUCUAAGCUGUAGAUAUUAGCCACAAGAUUUGAGAGUCUUCGUAUGGAGGAGGACAAGACGAUUGCUGAUUUUCACACUAAAUUGUGUGAUAUUUCAAAUGAAUCUUAUGCACUAGGUGAACAAUACUCGGAAAUAAAGUUGGUAAGAAAGGCACUAUGUUCAUUAACAUAAAGAUUCGCUUACAGAGUUGCAACAAUCGAAGAAGUGAGGGAUAUCAACACGCUAAAGCUAGAUGAGCUCAUGGGUACAAACCCAUGAAAUGAAUUUUAGAGCAAAUAUUCGAGAAAAGAAAAAGGUGAAGAAGC
rnacentral:lncRNA from 1 species